CAAAAGACAGUCUUCCCCUCUGUCUAGAGCCCAGAUCAAGUCUGAGCAGGUGCACACCGCCUUGUAAAAUCCAGGGUGUGUCCUUUACCCAGGAAGUCACCCUCCUCCCUCCCUCCCCACUCCUCCGCACCGCCCCCCCUUCGCCUGGGACAGCUGUUAAUAGGACAAUUACCCAAGAAGCAGCAGCAAGAUCCCGUGCUGAUGUGUCAUCAGUCCUGGUAUAUCCAUUAAAUCAGACCGAGAGGACCACUGGAAAAAGUGUGAAUGUGCCCGCUGGCCUUGAGGAUCCUGUAUUGAGAGCUGGUCCUCUGGUUAACUUAGACCAAAAGAACCAAAGCCUGGCAAAGCCUGAUGCUGUUCACUGGUGGAGCACUUAAACUGCUCGGCAUCUGCCUUGAUUCAGAUUGUGUCGUGUCUGUGUCUUGGGAGACUGCUGCAGAGGUGUCCGGGCGCCAUCCCUCCCUUGCCCAAGUCGCGUGAGAGGAGUGGGAGAAACCCUUUUUUGCACAGAGGGGGCUCUCUAGAGCCGUCCUCAUCUGCUCCCACUGCUAGAAGCCGUCUCUGAGACCCAAAGGAUGACACGACCGACCGUACCUACCAGGAGUCAAGAGACAAACUGGACUUUGCCAUGUUUUCUGCUGGCCUCAGGACAGCCCGCGGACGUCGGUGCAAACCAAACCCACCAGCCUGAAUGAAGGCGGGGCGGUGGGGGG
rnacentral:lncRNA from 1 species